UACAGAGGGUGCAAGCGUUAAUCGGAAUUACUGGGCGUAAAGCGUGCGUAGACGGUCAUGUAAGUCGGGUGUGAAAGCCCCGGGCUCAACCUGGGAAUUGCAUUCGAGACUGCAUGGCUAGGAUGCGGAAGAGGGAAGCGGAAUUUCGGGUGUAGCGGUGAAAUGCGUAGAUAUCCGAAGGAACAUCAGUGGCGAAAGCGGCUUCCUGGACCAGAACUGACGAUCAGGCACGAAAGCGUGGGGAGCAAACAGG
rnacentral:rRNA from 1 species